UACGUAGGGUCCGAGCGUUGUCCGGAGUUACUGGGCGUAAAGCGCGCGCAGGCGGCGGUGCUGGCCCGGCGUGAAAAGCCCCCCGGCGUCAACCGGGGAACGGGUCGUCGGGACCGCACCGCUUGAGGGCGGUAGGGGCUGGUGGAAUGCCUGGUGUAGUGGUGAAAUGCGUAGAGAUCAGGCGGAACACCCGUGGCGAAGGCGGCCAGCUGGGC
rnacentral:rRNA from 1 species